rnacentral:rRNA from 1 species
CGAACGCUGGCGGCGCGUUUUAAGCAUGCAAGUCGAACGGUAUAUGGAAGCUUGCUUCCAUAGAGAGUGGCGAACGGGUGAGUAACACGUAGGUGAUCUGCCCUUGAGUUGGGGAUAGCCCAUGGAAACAUGGAGUAAUACCGAAUACGGUCCGGACCCUGUGGGGACCGGAAGAAAGGCGCUUCGGCGCCGCUUGAGGAUGAGCCUGCGGCUGAUUAGUUAGUUGGUGGGGUAAUGGCCUACCAAGGCGACGAUCAGUAGCCGGCCUGAGAGGGUGAGCGGCCACACUGGGACUGAGAUACGGCCCAGACUCCUACGGGAGGCAGCAGCUAAGAAUCUUCCGCAAUGGACGAAAGUCUGACGGAGCGACGCCGCGUGGGUGAUGAAGGCCGGAAGGUUGUAAAGCCCUUUUCUAUCUGAGGAAUAAGCUUACGAGGAAAUGCGUGAGUGAUGACGGUAGGGUAGGAAUAAGCCCCGGCCAAUUAC